rnacentral:rRNA from 1 species
UACGAGUGGUGCAAGCAUUGCCCGGAAUCACUGGGUGUAAAGGGUUUGUAGGCGGAUUGGCAAGUCAGGUAUGAAAGACCGAAGCUUAACUUCGUGUUUGUGCUUGAAACUACCAGUCUAGAAUUAGGAAGAGGUAAGCGGAAUUCUAAGUGUAGGGGUGCAAUCCGUAGAUACUUAGAGGAACACCAAAAGCGAAGGCAGCUUACUGGGACUAUAUUGACGCUGAAAAACGAAAGCGUGGGAAGCGAAAAGG